GUUAGAAUCAAUGUUAGAGUAACGGUUUAGGGUUAGAAUGACAUUUACUGUUAAAAUAAAAUAACAUUUACAAAUAAUUAUACAGGUUUUUUUUUUUUAUCACAGGUUGUCCUCACUUACCGACCGGGUUCUGUUCUUACAACCCAGUCGUAAAGCAAAUUGGUCAGUAAGUUAGGAUGCGCUAGCAAGGGUGUGCAAAAGAG